AUGCCCAGGGAAGACAGGGUUACCUGGAAGUCCAACUACUUCCUUAAGAUCAUCCUACUGGCUGGUCAACUUUUGGCUGACUAUCCAAAAUGCUUCAUUGUGGGCGCAAUGUGGGCUCCAAGCAGAUGCAGCAGAUCUGCAAGUGCCUCCAAGGGAAGGCCGUGGGGCUGAUGGGCAAGAACACCAUGAUACGCAAAGCCGUCCCAGGGCAUCUGGAAAACAACCCAGCUCUAGAGAAACUGUUGCCGCAUAUGGGGGUGGGGGGGGAUGUAGGCUUUGUGUUCACCAAGGAGGAACUCACUGAGAUCAGGUACGUGCUGCUGGCCAACAUGGUGCCAGCUGCUGCUUGUGCAGGUGCCAUUGCCCAAUGUGAAGUCACUGUGCCAGCCCAGAACACUGGUCUAGGACCCGAAAAGACCUCCUUCCUCCAGGCUUUAGGCAUCACCACUAAAAUCUCCAGAGGCGCCAUUGAAAUCCUGAGUGAUAUGCAGUCAAUUCAGACUGGAGACAGGCCAGGAGCCAGUGAAGCCACACUGCUGAACACCUCCCCGGUCUCCUUUGGGUUGAGCAUCCAGCAGGUGUUCAACAAUGGCAGCAUCUACAUCCCUGAAAUGCUUGAUGUCACAGAGGAAACUGCAUUCUCGCUUCCUGGAGGGUGUCCACCAUGUUGCCAGUGUUUGCAGAUUGGUUAUCCAACUGUCGCAUCAGUACCCCAUUCUAUUAUCAAUGGGUACAAACGAGUCCUGGCUUUGUCUGUGGAGACGGAUGACACCUUCCCACUUGCUGGAAAGGUCAUGGCCUUCUUGGUUGAUCCAUCUAUCUGCCUUUGUGGCUGCCGUCCCUGUGGCUGCUGUGGCCACCGCUGCUCCUGCUGCAGCUGCAGCUCCAGCCAAGGUUGAAGCCAAGGAAAACUUGGAGGAGUCCGAUGAGGAGAUGGGAUUUGGUCUCUCUGACUAAUCACCAGAAAGCAACCAACGCAGUCAGCUUUAUUUGCAAAA